CCUACGGGUGGCAGCAGUGAGGAAUAUUGGUCAAUGGACGAGAGUCUGAACCAGCCAAGUAGCGUGAAGGAUGACUGCCCUAUGGGUUGUAAACUUCUUUUAUAUGGGAAUAAAACGUUCCACGUGUGGGAUUUUGUAUGUACCAUAUGAAUAAGGAUCGGCUAACUCCGUGCCAGCAGCCGCGGUAAUACGGAGGAUCCGAGCGUUAUCCGGAUUUAUUGGGUUUAAAGGGAGCGUCGGUGGAUUGUUAAGUCAGUUGUGAAAGUUUGCGGCUCAACCGUACAAUUGCAGUUGAAACUGACAGUCUUGAGUACAGUAGAGGUGGACGGAAUUCGUGGUGUAGCGGUGAAAUGCUUAGAUAUCACGAAGAACUCCGAUUGCGAAGGCAGUUCACUGGACUGCAACUGACACUGAGGCUCGAAAGUGUGGGUAUCAAACAGGAUUAGAUACCCUUGUAGUC
rnacentral:rRNA from 1 species